ensembl:lncRNA uncharacterized LOC110089395
GGUUGCGUGCAGCUUGAGCUCAGAGCUGUCCCCACCCUCUUGGGGACACCAGCAGAGCCGCGAGAACGUCUGCAAACUUCGGAUGAGGCUACAAAACAAAAACCGAAUAGAGCCGAGUCAAGCCAUCAGUGGAUUCUCUUUAUUUCCCCGACGGAUCACAGGGAUGUCUUUCUCCAGGCGUUGUCUCACCAAGUCGCUGAAGAACUGAACAUCCUGGGCAGAAACCGUUGUCCAUGGCUCCAGCUUUUGCAGAAUGGACAUCCGCUGGCUUCUUUCCGGCCAUCUUUGCUGUGUCCCUCUUUGCAGCCGCUUGUUUCCUGGCUCUGUGCGCUUCCUGCAAAAGGUAAGGUGCCUGAGAAUCCCACCCCACUGGAAUGUGAACAUUUAGGUACAAUAUUCAUGCAUGCUUUUUUCCUAAUGUACACAAAAGUUCUUUUUGCAACCAAUUUCUCUUUAAGCAAUGCAUUUGUCUGUGUCACAUAUUGUGUGUUUACUGUAUAUGUAUCACCUUUGUAUGACUCCAACAACCUACAGAGCUUGAGGUGUCCUCUCCGCCCCCCUGCAGCCGCUUUCUCCUCACAACAAACUUUCGCGGUAGGCCAGAGUGAGGCGGGGGGAAGUGGGUUAGCCUGAGGCCACCAAGUGCGUUCCGAUACUGAGUGAGGAUUUCAACCCCUGUGUGAGGAGCUGUGGCCGUUCCCUCCACAAUGAGACCGUACGUACUGGUAUAACACCACUUUUAUUGUACACACACAAAGAUCCGAUACUGAGUGAGGAUUUCAACUCCUGUGUGAGCAGCCGUGGCCGCUCCCUCCACAAGGAGACUAUGUACUGGUAGAACACCACUUUUAUUGUACACACACAAAGAGCGUCACAAUGUCACAACAGUUCUUGUGGCCCAAGGCUUGUCUUUGCCCGUGAAUUUGGGAGUUGUAGUUCCUCAUCGGCGCAGGACCUCUGGGCUGACCGAACGGAAAGUCUCUAUCAGAAACCACCCCCCGCAGGUGUGAUGGACUCCCAUCCUGAGAUGACUCAGGUCCCUCCGAAGGAGGAGCUGGAAAAAGUCCAGGUGAACUCAGGCCCCCUCCCCAGGCGGCCAAGAGUCCACUCCCUGCGUCUUGCCCCAGAGCCUCUGGUCACAGUUCCAGCAUGAAGCGACUUCCUUAGUUCCCCCAGAAGUUACUUCACUCCUUAGGCUAGUGGUCCCCCAACCUUGGGCCUCCAGAUGUUCUUAGACUACAGCUUCCAGAAGCCUUCACCACCACCUCUUCUGGCCAGGAUUUCUGGGAGCAGAAGUCCAAGAACAUCUGGAGGCCCAAGGUUUGGGGAACCCCUGCCUUAGGCGGUUGAGUGUGGCUUGCAAAGAACGCCCAUCCAGCCAAACUGCCGAAUCCCCAACAGGGAGAAGUCUCUCCCCGUUCCCCUGCUUCUCCCUCUAGCCCUCGGUGCCUAAGCCGGGCAGGUGUCAGGCUCAAUGUCAGAAAGAAACAGAAGGAGAGGAGGGAAGGCAAGGUGGGUGGAAGUCCCUCCAGCGGUCGGGAGUUUCCCUGAACUUGCAACCAAUCUGCCUCCCACCCCUCGUGUCCUGGUCUCAUCCUGAUCACUUCUGCAGGGCAACACUACCUCCAUGACC